rnacentral:rRNA from 1 species
CGGAUUCUUUCGGGAUGAAGACUUUUCUUACUGAGUGGCGGACGGGUGAGUAACGCGUGGGUAACCUGCCUCACACAGGGGGAUAGCAGUUGGAAACGGCUGAUAAUACCGCAUAAGCGCACAGUACCGCAUGGUACAGUGUGAAAAACUCCGGUGGUGUGAGAUGGACCCGCGUCUGAUUAGCUUGUUGGCAGGGUAACGGCCUACCAAGGCAACGAUCAGUAGCCGACCUGAGAGGGUGACCGGCCACAUUGGGACUGAGACACGGCCCAGACUCCUACGGGAGGCAGCAGUGGGAAAUAUUGCACAAUGGAGGAAACUCUGAUGCAGCGACGCCGCGUGAGUGAAGAAGUAAUUCGUUAUGUAAAGCUCUAUCAGCAGGGAAGAUAGUGACGGUACCUGACUAAGAAGCUCCGGCUAAAUACGUGCCAGCAGCCGCGGUAAUACGUAUGGAGCAAGCGUUAUCCGGAUUUACUGGGUGUAAAGGGAGUGUAGGUGGCAUCACAAGUCAGAAGUGAAAGCCCGGGGCUCAACCCCGGGACUGCUUUUGAAACUGUGGAGCUGGAGUGCAGGAGAGGCAAGUGGAAUUCCUAGUGUAGCGGUGAAAUGCGUAGAUAUUAGGAGGAACACCAGUGGCGAAGGCGGCUUGCUGGACUGUAACUGACACUGAGGCUCGAAAGCGUGNGGAGCAAACAGGAUUAGAUACCCUGGUAGUCNACGCCGU